rnacentral:rRNA from 1 species
UACGAGGGGGGCGAGCGUUGUUCGGAAUUAUUGGGCGUAAAGGGUGCGUAGGCGGCCUGACAAGUCUGAUGUGAAAUCCCUGGGCUCAACCCAGGGCCUGCAUCGGAAACUGUCGGGCUUGAGUAUGGGAGAGGUGAGUGGAAUUUCCGGUGUAGCGGUGAAAUGCGCAGAUAUCGGGAAGAACACCUAUGGCGAAGGCAGCUCUCUGGGACGGUACUGACGCUGAGACGCGAAAGCGUGGGGAGCGAACAGG